AUUGAACGCUGGCGGCAUGCCUUACACAUGCAAGUCGAACGGCAGCACGGGGGCAACCCUGGUGGCGAGUGGCGAACGGGUGAGUAACAUAUCGGAACAUACCCUAGAGUGGGGAUAACGUAGCGAAAGUUACGCUAAUACCGCAUACGAUCUAAGGAUGAAAGUGGGGGAUCUUCGGACCUCAUGCUCAUGGAGUGGCCGAUAUCUGAUUAGCUAGUUGGUGAGGUAAAGGCUCACCAAGGCGACGAUCAGUAGCUGGUUUGAGAGAACGACCAGCCACACUGGAACUGAGACACGGUCCAGACUCCUACGGGGGGCAGCAGUGGGGAAUUUUGGACAAUGGGGGCAACCCUGAUCCAGCAAUGCCGCGUGAGUG
rnacentral:rRNA from 1 species